rnacentral:rRNA from 1 species
CAGUCGCCACGGUAAUACGAAGGUCCCAAGCGUUGUUCGGAAUCACUGGGCGUAAAGGGAGCGUAGGCGGCGUGGUAAGUCAGAUGUGAAAUCCCGGGGCUCAACCCCGGAACUGCAUCCGAUACUGCCAUGCUUGAGGGUUGGAGAGGUAGCUGGAAUUCUUGGUGUAGCAGUGAAAUGCGUGGAUAUCAAGAGGAACACUCGUGGCGAAGGCGAGCUACUGGACAACAUCUGACGCUGAGGCUCGAAGGCCAGGGUAGCGAAAGGGAUUAGAUACCCGCGUAGUCCCUGUCUCUUAUAC